UGGGGCUGGACAUGUUUGUGUUAGAUUGAUCUGAAAGCAAUUUGGUUUCCCCACGUUCCACAUAGAUGAAACCCCUUUUGAUAGGACCCAAAUAAAACACUUUCUGUCCCUUACACACACUAAUACACACACAUGAACUGCUGAAGUCCCUGACAGUAAGGUUAGCGUUACUUGCAUUAACACACAGUCUUGUAUGUAGACCCUGAGUCCUGCACACAAAGACCCUCAUUUAGAGCCAGAACCACCAGCCAGAAGGAAAAGGAACAACUCCAAACAAGACACUAAUGAGAAGGAUGGAGGCACCAGAGGGCGCCGCAGUGCCAUUGAGGCCGAUAUGAAGAUGAAAAAGUGAACGGAGAUGUCGCACUGCUGCUGUUACGGAAGUUCAGAUAGGAUUUAUUUCCGUUUUGUUUAGAAGUUCUGGCUAAGCUUGACACAGCAAUUCGACAGUCUAAUUACAGAAGGACACAGAAAAAAGGGAAACUUUAAGGGCUUGACCCUCUUUCACAGAAACCCUUCAGUCCUAGACCUGAAAAACUGGCCAAAUGUGCUCUGAUUCUAGACUCACAGGACAGGACAAACUGACCUUGUGUUUGUUUGAGUUUAGGAGUUGCUUAAAAGUUUUUAAAUUGAUGUCACAAAUUCUAGCUGUCAUCACUGGCCUUUAAAAAAAAAAAACUGAAUGUACCCCUGUCAUGAAUCAGAAUGUUAUUUUCUAGAGUCAAGAAUGAAAUCUUACAAGCCAUUGUUCAUGAUGUGGAACCCUGAACGAUGGAGAAGGGAGCAAUAAAAGUAAGCUUUUUUCUUCUAUAGGAAUGAAGAUAGAUACAAAGCUUCUUUUAACUAGAUUUUUCCUAGUCAGGAUUAUGGAUGCUUUGAUUUACAGUUAAAGGUCUACUGUACUAUGUUCAGUUUGUUUUUGUUCUUUAAGUGAGAAUUAAUUUGACAUCUGUAUGUUUAGAAAGAACAUAUAGUUUUGUACAGGGUAUUUGUGUACAGUGUUUUUGUAUAUUGUGUCAUUAAAUGAUUUAAUAAAUAAACGAAAGUCUGGAAUUAUAAGAUAUAGUUUUAGGAAUAAUUUAUUCAACUUGUGCUUCAAAGCAAAAAAUAUUAGUACAAAUGCUUAACUGGGAGGACAAUACCAGCCUGUCCUUUUCAAAGUCUCACAUACACCCAAAAAAAAAAAAAAAACACUCAAUAUCCAUUAAAGACAUCAACAUGUAUCA